UACGUAGGGGGCAGGCGUUGUCCGGAUUUAUUGGGCGUAAAGAGCGUGUAGGCGGCCAGGUAGGUCUGCUGUGAAAACUCGAGGCUUAACCUCGAGCUGUCGGCGGAAACCAUCUGGCUAGAGUCCGGAAGAGGAGAAUGGAAUUCCCGGUGUAGCGGUGAAAUGCGCAGAUAUCGGGAAGAACACCCGUGGCGAAGGCGGUUCUCUGGGACGGUACUGACGCUGAGACGCGAAAGCGUGGGGAGCGAACAGG
rnacentral:rRNA from 1 species